CACGUAGGGCGCAAGCGUUGUCCGGAAUUAUUGGGCGUAAAGAGCUCGUAGGCGGUUUGUCGCGUCUGCUGUGAAAUCCCGAGGCUCAACCUCGGGCCUGCAGUGGGUACGGGCAGACUGGAGUGCGGUAGGGGAGAAUGGAACUCCUGGUGUAGCGGUGAAAUGCGCAGAUAUCGGGAAGAACACCCGUGGCGAAGGCGGCUCUCUGGGACGGUACUGACGCUGAGACGCGAAAGCGUGGGGAGCGAACAGG
rnacentral:rRNA from 1 species